rnacentral:rRNA from 1 species
AACCUGGUUGAUGCCUGCCAGUAGUCAUAUGCGUUGUGCUCAAAGAUUAAGCCAUGCAUGUCUCAGUAUAAGUCUUUACAUGUCGAAACUGCGAAUGGCUCAUUAAAACAGUUAUAGUUUAUUUGAUGGUCACUCGUUAUUUGGAUAACUGUGGUAAUUCUAGAGCUAAUACAUGCACAAAACCGCGACUUCUUGGAAGCGGUGUAUUUAUUAGAUACGGAACCAAUCGGGCAACCGUUGUUGGAUGAUUCAUGAUAAAUGUACGGAGCGUAUGGCUUGUGCCGACGCUGUAUCAUUCAAGUUUCUGACCUAUCAGCUUUCGACGGUAGGGUAUUGGCCUACCGUGGCAUUGACGGGUAACGGAGAAUUAGGGUUCGAUUCCGGAGAGGGAGCCCGAGAAACGGCUACCACAUCUAAGGAAGGCAGCAGGCGCGCAAAUUACCCAAUCACGACACGUGGAGGUAGUGACAAGAAAUAACAAAGCAAGCCAGUAUUCUGGUUUUGCUAUUGGAAUGAGUAGAAUUUAAAUCUCUUUACGACUAUCAAUUGGAGGGCAAGUCUGGUGCCAGCAGCCGCGGUAAUUCCAGCUCCAAUAGC